rnacentral:rRNA from 1 species
CAGGUCAGCAUACUGCCGUGAAUACGUUCCCGGGCCUUGUACACACCGCCCGUCACACCAUGAGAGUUGGGAAUACCCGAAGCCUGUGAGCUAACUUUACGAGGCAGCAGUCGAAGGUAGAAUCAAUGAUUGGGGUGAAGUCGUAACAAGGUAAC